GAAACUCUAAACAGACGGCCACGAAGGUAGAUUACCAGGAGUGCAUUUUACAUAUAUACUUCUGUUACGCUGUGUAAAUGCAUUUUCUGGUAAGUAACCUUGGUCGGCAGAGUCUACAAAAUCAUC
rnacentral:pre_miRNA from 10 species